CCUACGGGAGGCAGCAGUGGGGGAUAUUGCACAAUGGGGGAAACCCUGAUGCAGCACCGCCGCGUGUGGGAAGAAGGUUUUCGGAUUGUAAACCACUGUCAUGGGGGAAGAAAAUGACGGUAACCAAGAAAAAAGCCCCGGCUAACUACGUGCCAGCAGCCGCGGUAAUACGUAGGGGGCAAGCGUUGUCCGGAUUUACUGGGGGUAAAGGGUGCGUAGGCGGCAGCGCAAGUCUGGAGUGAAAGCCCAUGGCUUAACCAUGGAACUGCUUUGGAAACUGUGCAGCUGGAGUGCAGGAGAGGUAAGCGGAAUUCCUAGUGUAGCGGUGAAAUGCGUAGAUAUUAGGAGGAACACCAGUGGCGAAGGCGGCUUACUGGACUGUAACUGACGUUGAGGCUCGAAAGCGUGGGGAGCAAACAGGAUUAGAUACCCGUGUAGUC
rnacentral:rRNA from 1 species